rnacentral:lncRNA from 1 species
CUGGGUUGUUGACAUCCAUAACACCACUGAUUCAAGGCUGGAGCGGGUAAUCUCCCUAUGAGGAAAAGAGAUGGGGAUUUGCCAUGUUGCCCCAACUGGUCUCACACUCCUGGACUCAAGCAUUCUGCUUGCCUCGGCCUCCCAACGUGCUGGGAUUACAGGCGUGAACCACCGUGCGCAGCCAUCCUUUUUUUUUUUUUUAAAUUUUAUUUUUUUUUAAGGGACAGGUCUUACUCUGUUGCCCAGGCUGGAGUGCACUGGUGCAAUCCUAACUCACUGCAGCCUUGAACUCUCAAGUCAUCCUCCCACCUCAGCCUCCCAAACAACUGUGACUACAGGUAUGUACCGUGACGCAUGAAUAAUUUUUUUAUUUUUAUUUUUGUAGAGACAAAGUCUUCGUGUGUUGUCCAGGCUGGUCUCAAAGUCCUGGGCUCAGGUAAACCUCCUGCCUCGGCAUCCCAAAGUGCUGGCAGGAGCC